rnacentral:rRNA from 1 species
UACGUAGGGCGCAAGCGUUGUCCGGGAUUAUUGGGCGUCAAGAGCUCGUAGGUGGUUCGUUACGCCGGAUGUGAAAAUCUGGGGCUCAACCCCAGACCUGCAUUCGAUACGGGCGAACUAGAGUGUGGUAGGGGAGACUGGAAUUCCUGGUGUAGCGGUGGAAUGCGCAGAUAUCAGGAGGAACACCAAUGGCGAAGGCAGGUCUCUGGGCCAUUACUGACACUGAGGAGCGAAAGCGUGGGGAGCGAACAGG